rnacentral:lncRNA from 1 species
AUAUGACUUUCCAUGGGCUUUCAUGGUAAAGAUUUCUUUUAUUAUGACAUAAUUUAUUUUUUUAUUCAAUAAUGCUUUUAAUUUAUUGGCAUUAUUUUAUAGGUUUGGGCAUUUGAAACCAUUCCUUAUUUGAGACAACAAGUGAACUACCAGGAAGAAGUUUCCUGUCCAAGAAUCCUGAGAUGGUUGUAGGCCAAAACUGAUAAAAAUAUAAAAUUUCUUGAUCUCUUCUACCCCCGAA